rnacentral:rRNA from 1 species
UACGUAGGGACCAAGCGUUGUUCGGAUUUACUGGGCGUAAAGGGCGCGUAGGCGGCGUGACAAGUCACUUGUGAAAUCUCUGGGCUUAACCCAGAACGGCCAAGUGAAACUGUUGUGCUAGAGUGCAGAAGGGGCAAUCGGAAUUCUCGGUGUAGCGGUGAAAUGCGUAGAUAUCGAGAGGAACACCUGAGGUGAAGACGGGUUGCUGGGCCGACACUGACGCUGAUAGCGCGAAAGCCAGGGGAGCAAACGGG